GUAGGGGGCAAGCGUUGUCCGGAUUUAUUGGGCGUAAAGAGCGUGUAGGCGGCCAGAUAGGUCAGCUGUGAAAACUCGAGGCUCAACCUCGAGACGUCGGUUGAAACCAUCUGGCUAGAGUCCGGAAGAGGAGAGUGGAAUUCCCGGUGUAGCGGUGAAAUGCGCAGAUAUCGGGAAGAACACCCGUGGCGAAGGCGGCUCUCUGGGACGGUACUGACGCUGAGACGCGAAAGCGUGGGGAGCGAACAGGAUUAGAUACCCUGGUAGUCCACGCCGUAAACGAUGGGUGCUAGGUGUGGGGGGUGUCGACUCCCCCCGUGCCGAAGCUAACGCAUUAAGCACCCCGCCUGGGGAGUACGGCCGCAAGGCUA
rnacentral:rRNA from 1 species